rnacentral:sRNA from 1 species
UGACCAUUUCUUUAUCCGGUAAAUCGAGAACGAUAAAGAGAUUAAAUGCCAUACGGACAGCUAGGUCGAAUGCCGG